rnacentral:rRNA from 1 species
GAACGCUGGCGGCGUGCCCUAAUACAUGCAAGUCGAACGGCUUUUCUAUGGAAGCUUGCUUCCACUGAGAAGAUAGUGGCGAACGGGUGAGUAACACGUGGGUAACCUGCCCAUAAGAGGGGGAGUAACAUCCGGAAACGGGUGCUAAUACCGCAUAGUUUUCUUGAUCGCAUGAUUGAGAAAGGAAAGACGGCCUUCGUGCUGUCGCUUAUGGAUGGACCCGCGGCGUAUUAGUUAGUUGGUGAGGUAACGGCGUCACCAAGACGAUGAUACGUAGCCGACCUGAGAGGGUGAUCGGCCACAUUGGGACUGAGACACGGCCCAAACUCCUACGGGAGGCAGCAGUAGGGAAUCUUCCGCAAGUGGACGAAAGUCUGACGGAGCAACACCGCGUGAGUGAAGAAAAGGUUUUCGGAUCGUAAAACUCUGUUGUCAGAGAAGAACAAGUUGGAGAGUAACUGCUCCAGCCUUGACGGUAUCUGACCAGAAAGCCACGGCUAACUACGUGCCAGCAGCGGC